rnacentral:rRNA from 1 species
GACGAACGCUGGCGGCGUGCCUAAUACAUGCAAGUAGAACGCUGAAGGAGGAGCUUGCUUCUCUGGAUGAGUUGCGAACGGGUGAGUAACGCGUAGGUAACCUGCCUGGUAGCGGGGGAUAACUAUUGGAAACGAUAGCUAAUACCGCAUAACAGUAGAUAUCGCAUGAUAUCUACUUGAAAGGUGCAAUUGCCUCACUACCAGAUGGACCUGCGUUGUAUUAGCUAGUUGGUGAGGUAACGGCUCACCAAGGCGACGAUACAUAGCCGACCUGAGAGGGUGAACGGCCAAACUGGGACUGAGACACGGCCCAGGCUCCUACGGGAGGCAGCAGUAGGGAAUCUUCGGCAAUGGACGGAAGUCUGACCGAGCAACGCCGCGUGAGUGAAGAAGGGUUUCGGAUCGGAAAGCUCUGUUGUAAGAGAAGAACGAGUGUGAGAGUGGAAAGUUCACACUGUGACGGUAUCUUACCAGAAAGGGACGGCUAACUACGUG